rnacentral:rRNA from 1 species
AGCGAACGCUGGCGGCAGGCUUAACACAUGCCAGUCGAGCGGGCAUCCUCGUGGUGUCUGCGGUAGACGGGUGAGUAACGCGUGGGAACGUGCUCUUCGGUCCGGAAUAACCUAGGGAAACUUGUGCUAAAACUGGAUACGUGCGAGAGCAGAAACGCUUAUUUGCCGAAGGAUCGAGCCGAGUCUGAUUAGUUAGGUGGUGAGGCUAUGGCUCACCAAGGCGUCGUUCAGUAGCUGGUCUGGGAGGAUGUUAAACCACACUGGGACUGAGACACGGCCCAGACUCCUACGGAGGGCAGCAGUAGAGAGUAUUAUACGAGGGAGGCUGCCCUAAUCCAGCCGUGCCGCGUAAGUCAUGACUGCCUUAGGAUUGUAAAUCUCUUUGCUACGAGACGAUAGUGACGGUACCGGAGAAAUAAGCCCAGGCUAACUACGUG